rnacentral:rRNA from 1 species
AUUGAACGCUGGCGGCAGGCUUAACACAUGCAAGUCGAGGGGCAGCACGGGUAGCAAUAUCUGGUGGCGACCGGCGCAACGGUGCGUAACGCGUGAGCAACAUGCCCGUAUCAGGGGAAUAAUCCAGGGAAACUUGGUCUAAUACCCCAUAGUAAAUAUUAAAGGCACCUUUAAUAUUUUAAAGCUUUGGUCGAUACGGAUUGGCUCGCGUGACAUUAACUAGAUGGUAAGGUAACGGCUUACGAUGGCUACGAUGUCUAGGGGUUCUGAGAGGAAGAUCCCCCACACUGGAACUGAGACACGGUCCAGACUCCUACGGGAGGCAGCAGUGAGGAAUAUUGGACAAUGGAUGGAAAUCUGAUCCAGCCAUGCCGCGUGCAGGAAGACGGCCCUAUGGGUUGUAAACUGCUUUUAUAUGGGAGCAAUAAGGCCUACGAGUAGGUUGAUGAGAGUACCAUAUGAAUAAGCACCGGCUAACUCCGUGCCAGCAGCCGCUGUAACAC